GUGGGGAAUUUUGGACAAUGGGGGCAACCCUGAUCCAGCCAUGCCGCGUGCGGGAAGAAGGCCUUCGGGUUGUAAACCGCUUUUGUCAGGGAAGAAAUCCUUUGGGUUAAUACCUCGGAGGGAUGACGGUACCUGAAGAAUAAGCACCGGCUAACUACGUGCCAGCAGCCGCGGUAAUACGUAGGGUGCGAGCGUUAAUCGGAAUUACUGGGCGUAAAGCGUGCGCAGGCGGUUUUGUAAGAUCGAUGUGAAAUCCCCGGGCUCAACCUGGGAACUGCAUUGGUGACUGCAAGGCUGGAGUGCGGCAGAGGGGGAUGGAAUUCCGCGUGUAGCAGUGAAAUGCGUAGAGAUGCGGAGGAACACCGAUGGCGAAGGCAGCCUCCUGGGAUAACACUGACGCUCAGGCACGAAAGCGUGGGGAGCAAACAGGAUUAGAUACCCUUGUAGUCC
rnacentral:rRNA from 1 species